GAUGAAGAACGCAGUGAAAUGCGAUACGUAAUGUGAAUUGCAGAAUUCAGUGAAUCAUCGAGUCUUUGAACGCACAUUGCGCCCCCUGGUAUUCCGGGGGGCAUGCCUGUCCGAGCGUCAUUGCUGCCCUCAAGCACGGCUUGUGUGUUGGGCCUCCGUCCUCCUCCCGGGGACGGGCCCGAAAGGCAGCGGCGGCACCGCGUCCGGUCCUCGAGCGUAUGGGGCUUCGUCACCCGCUCUUGUAGGCCCGGCCGGCGCUUGCCGACACAUCAAUCUUUUUUCCAGGUUGACCUCGGAUCAGGUAGGGAUACCCGCUGAACUUAAGCAUAUCAAUAAGCGGAGGA
rnacentral:misc_RNA from 1 species